CCGAGUUUACAACUCCCAAACCCAAUGUGAACGUUACCAAACUGUUGCCUCGGCGGGAUCUCUGCCCCGGGUGCGUAGAAGCCCCGGACCAAGGCGCCCGCCGGAGGACCAACCAAACUCUUUCUGUAGUCCCCUCGCGGUAAUCUGAGCAUUCGGCAGCCUCGUGAGGCAGAUUCGAAAAUGAAUC
rnacentral:misc_RNA from 1 species